rnacentral:lncRNA from 1 species
UUACAACGUCAUAAUUCCACAUAACAUGAUACAGCUAUCCAAAGUACAACCAAAAAUGUGUGAACCCCGUCCCCAGAAGAGGAGGUAAAGUUCUUGAGUGAUGUUUACUCUUCUCCUAAUAUUCCAUAACUGAAAUACCAGGAUGUAAAAUUAACAAUGCUUAAAUGCUGAUAUAAAGUUAAUAAAUCUAGCUGGGUGUGGUGGCUCACGUCUGUGAUCCCAGCACUUUGGGAGGCUGAGGUGGGCUGAUCACUUGAGGCCAGGAGUUCGAGACCAGCCCGGCCAACAUAGCUCCAGCCUGGGCAACAGAGCGAGACUCUGUCUCAAAAAUAAAUAAAUAAAAAUAAAGUUGAUAAAUCUUAUGUUACAUGAUAAAAGAAUAAGGCAGAAGAUAAAACAAAGAUAUUUGCUUAAUAUAUGUAUAUAUAUGCACAAGGGAUUGAGAGAUGCCCUGUAUAUAUAAUGGUUUCUUAACCAAGUAGGGAGAAAAAGGCUCAUAUAAUUAUAAUCAUCAUUUCUGUAACUGGUGCAGGUCAUAGUUGAUUGUUCAUAACUACCUUCUACUACCCAAUCUGUAUUCCCUUUGCUUUCAGCAAACACCUCAGCUGGUCAUGAUUUUUUUGUUUUUGUUUUUGUUUUGUUUUUAUAGAGACAGGGUCUCCCUGUGUUGCCCAGGCUGGUCUUGAACUCCUAGACUCAAGCAAUCCUUCCACCGCAGCCUCCCAAAGUGCUGGGUUAUAGGUGUGAGCCACUGCUCUCAGCCUGCUCAUGGUUUUUAAUGGAGCAGGGUGACCCAAACUUUCAUUUCUGAAGGGUCUGGGCCAUUCAUAGUUCUGCCUAGAUUGGGUUAUUGUAGUUUCCCAUCAU